AAAAAAAAAAAAAAAAGGAAAGCUCAUACCCAAAUUCACAAAACCUAUUUUUAAACCAAAGCACAUUUUGAAUGAGUAUGGAACCUCAAUGGGCUCAGAAAAAAAAAAGAUGCUAAUAUAUUUAUCUCAUUGUUUACAUAAACUUUUACAGUUUCAGACCUCAACAGCUGUAAGGCCAGUCCCAGGGAAUCCUCAUCUUCUGCUGGGGGUCCUUCUGAGUUAGCCCUGGAAUGGCUCAUGGGCAGAGAAGGGCUGGAGAAGAGGCUGGAAGCCUCUGUGGGAUCCACCUGAGCCUUCAUCCUCAUCCCUGGGGGCUCUCCAAGCCCAGCUGGCACCAAAGAGCUUAGGCCAGUGCUGAUCAGCUCCUGAGGCCUCCUGGCCAGGACCUCAGUAGUCCUGGCCAGCAGCGGGUGGCAAUCAGCUCUGGUGACAGGACCUAAGUCUGGGUUUGGGCCCCAGGGUGGAGGUGAGCUCCCCCUCCUACUCUGCCAGUGAUACUUAGGGGGUGAAUUGAUGUGAAGGUUUCAUUCAAGCCAAAAAGCAGAGACCUUUGCACAGCUCAGUUGACUCCACUGGGCUUCCACCCCCCACCCCAUGCAGGGGAAGAGGCUUACUGAGCCUGAUCCUUACAACACAGACGGUGCAAACACUCUUAACAGUGUUGUUUUUGUAUCAAUAUGUUUGUGCAGUGAUGAAUGUAUUUAUUUCUCAGACUUGGGGUGAAUGGGCAAGUGGCAGGCCGGGCUCUGCCACUGCUCACUCCCACUGGACCGAGCCACAGCAAGGGCUCCUUCAGGAUUGCAAAAAAGGAAAAAAGAAGUGAUGAACCUUUAAGCAAAUAAGAAUCUCAGAGACUUGCAGCAUAGCCAUACACCUCAGCCUGUGAAAUGAGCACUCUGGACCCAGAUUGACUCCCGAUUUCAUACAGCCGGGGGUGUGUUUCCUGUCCAACACCACUGGGGGGCAGUGGGCCAUUUGCCUGAUGCCCCCAAACUGUCAGUAUUCACUGGACUUCAGGCCCCUGUGCAGGAGUGCGAUCUGGCUGGGUUUGCAGGCAGCAGACCCCUGCCCCCUCCUGUGGCCAUCCUGAUUGAUGAUGGGAGUGGAGGGGGGCUGGCCUGGGCAGCCAGAAGGGCAGGGCUCAGGGAACAAGUGCUGCAUCCGUCCUGCCCCCAGAUUUGGGGGACAAAAGCUAUAAGCACCAGGCCUGAGAAUAACAGGGUGCUCAGCCCUGCCAUGCCCCACUGAAGGGACCAAGGUUGUCCUGUUCCCCAGAGUCACAUUGGGGCCAUUGUUACUGAACCUGUGAAUUGGAUGCCAGGAAUGAGGGAAUGGAGAGGGACCUAACCAGAGCCUCAGUCUGACAUUCCAAACUGGGUAUGGUAGGAGCUGUGGGAAUUGAGGCUGCCCAGGACCACCCCCCUUCCUAGGAUGCCCCCAGCUUCAGUCACCCCAGUUUAAUUUUCUACCAGGAACCCCUCCCCCUACCUCACCUUGCUAUUUAUUGCUGUAAUUUAUUGACCUCAAGAAUGCUGCAUAACAGACCUCACUUGGGGGCAAGGAGGAUCCCCAGGGCUCCCCCCCCUCCACUUGGUGGGGCCCUGUGGGGCCAGGUGCUGAGGGGAUCCUCUCUACCCCACCCAUCAUUUGCUUCCCCCCAGGGUCCCCAGGUUGGGCUCUGGCCCAUUCACAAAUACCUCGAGGGGAGGGGAAGAGAUGGGGUUAUAGCUGUUUUAAUUGGAACCGGAAGAGGGAUCAUGUCCUAGUUUAUACCCUUCCCAGAGAGGGGGAGGGACACCGGGAUCGCACUCCUGUACUGGCCACCGCCGUUGUCACUCAUCAUUGAGUUCACUUCUCUCUAGAGUUUGGAUAAAUUCAGGUCAGAGCUGCAGGUAUGCAGCCCUCCAGUGUCAUAGAAAAGCGAUUCGCUGAUGACUGAUCUCUCCAGAAGCGUGCAGUCUUAAUGUACAGUGAUGAGAAACUGUUAUUUUAUGAUCUUUUCAUUAAAAGCUUGAUUGAAAAC
rnacentral:lncRNA from 1 species